GUGAAUCAUCGAAUUUUUGAACGCAAAUUGCACUCACUGGUAUUCCGGGGAGUAUGCCUGUUUGAGGGUCGUUAUAACAAAAAUCGAAGCGUCUCUCUUUUUUUUCAGUGUGAUCGCGUCGCAAUUAAUCUGUCUUUCAAAUGUUAAUUCAUUUCAAAGUGUCUUAUACUUCAUCCCUCCGGUACGACUAAAGCUUAUUUAAGUUCACCUUUGAUUAAGAA
rnacentral:misc_RNA from 1 species